AGGAUAAACGCUGGCGGCGUGCCUAACACAUGCAAGUCGAACGCGCUUUCGGGCUUCGGUGCGAGAGCGAGUGGCGGACGGGUGAGUAACACAUGGGUACCUACCUUGGAGUGAGGGAUACCGGCGAGAAAUCGCCGACAAUACCGCAUAGGCUUCUUCACAAGGGAAGCAAAGUGACGCGAGUCACGCUUUGAGAUGGGCCUGUGGCCGAUUAGCUAGUUGGGGGGGUAACGGCUUCCCAAGGCGACGAUCGGUAGCUGGUCUGAGAGGACGAUCAGCCACACUGGGAUUGAGAACGGCCCAGACUCCUACGGGGGGCAGCAGUGAGGAAUUUUCCGCAAUGGAGGCAACUCUGACGGAGCAACGCCGCGUGCAGGAGGAGGUUUUCGGAUCGUAAACUGCUUUUCUCGGGGACGAGCGAAGGACGGUACCCGGAGGAAGAAGCCCCGGCUAACUACGUGCCAGCAGCCGC
rnacentral:rRNA from 1 species